GAGAAACGAGAGUAAUCAUCAUGAGUGCAGUAAAACAUGCGCAGUAAUAAAUGCUGAUUACACGUUCUCCUAUUAAAAUGUUGUGCAUGUAAACCCACUAAUAAUACAUCCGUUUGAAACAUAUUCUCUUCACAUUCUCUGAAUAUUUGAAAUAAAAAUCAAGAUCAAAUCUCUCGAAUUUUAAACUCUGAGAUUUAAGUCAAAGAAAAUAAAUUUCUGCAAACCUCAGAAUAAAGACAUAAUUUUCAGAAUAUUCAUCAAUAAAUCAGAGUUUGUUCUAAAAUCCAUAGCUCAAUAAUGUGCCUGUGAAAUGUGUGUGUGGUCAUGUUAAAUCAGAGAAUAUAAAAUUUCACAAUUUCGUAAUUAUAAGGUAGACAAAAAUAAUUUAUGCAAACUCUCAAAAUUUAGACUGAGACAUACUCUGAUGAUUCAGAUAAAAUAAUAUAACCCCCUUUUUCUUUUUCUUUUUUUUUUUUUUUUUUUUUUUUUUUUUUUUUUUUUUUUUUUUUUUUUUUUUUUUUUUUUUUUUUUUUUUUUUUUUAAGGACGCUUCUCAGUGUAAGUGAGGCACGACCUUUAAAUAUACUAUUGCAUUAGUAUUUCUCCAGUAAUCAGAGAUUGUGACUGGUCACCAUAGAUUAUAAAAUCUUAGCAAUUACUUAAUACCAGCAAAUGUUUGGUUCUUCCCAGUCACUGUCAUAUUAACAUCUAAGAUCUCAAAG
rnacentral:lncRNA from 1 species